GAGGUGCGCCCGCCCUGGGCGGGAGCCCCGCGCAGCAGCGGCUCCUGACAGGAAAUGGCGGGGGGCGGCGGCGGGUUUCGUUGCUGUGGACGAAGCGACUCUGAAGGAAAACGAGGCCUGGGCCGGGCAGCAGCAGCACCUUCACUACGGCCCGGCACGGUGCUGAGUGCUGGGAAGCUGGCAGGAGAGCGGCCGGGGGAGGUCAGCCCUCGGUCAGAAGAGCAGGAUGGAGCUUUGCCAGCUCAGCGGUUUUUGUUCUCGGCCAGCAGAGAAAUGCACCUAGAACUUGUGCUGCGACAACAGUGAGGGAAAGAGCGAAGAAAGAAGCUAUUUACUGAUGUCUCCCAAUGGCAAUAUCACCUUCCUCAUCCAGGAUAUCCCUCACAAGAGGUAAUUGCUGUGAUGGGAGACAAGUGCUUGUUGUCUGUUCCUGCACACCACUCUUUUUUGGCAACGAAGGAUCCCUCUUGUUUUCAGUGCUUGUGCUCUGCCAGAUGGGACAGUGGACUCCGGAAAUAGUGCUUCCACUGUUGCCAUACUGGGAGACCUGAGAUUAAGUCAUGCCUCUGUCUGUGCCAAGUUUACGCUAUUUUCUGAUAAACUACUUUGAAAUCUUCCU
rnacentral:lncRNA from 7 species